GGACGAACGCUGGCGGCGUGCUUAACACAUGCAAGUCGAGCGGUAAGGCCCUUUCGGGGGUACACGAGCGGCGAACGGGUGAGUAACACGUGGGUGACCUGCCCUCAGCUCUGGGAUAAGCCUGGGAAACUGGGUCUAAUACCGGAUAUGACUCCAUGACGCAUGUUGUGGGGUGGAAAGCCUUGUGCGGCUGAGGAUGGGCCCGCGGCCUAUCAGCUUGUUGGUGGGGUGAUGGCCUACCAAGGCGACGACGGGUAGCCGGCCUGAGAGGGCGACCGGCCACACUGGGACUGAGACACGGCCCAGACUCCUACGGGAGGCAGCAGUGGGGAAUCUUGCGCAAUGGGCGAAAGCCUGACGCAGCGACGCCGCGUGAGGGAUGACGGCCU
rnacentral:rRNA from 1 species